rnacentral:lncRNA from 1 species
UGGGCCUCUGUAAGAAAAGUGGAACAGAAGUUAUGCUUUGGAGUUGCAGGAACUCCUGUGGUUCUCGUUGUGUGCUCUGUGUCAUGACUGUGCCAUAGAGGAGAGCUGAGUCUCCUUCCUCAUUAACUUGUUAUCUGGACGGGGCAGUGAGCACCUGCAGCCCUCCCUCCCCCCACCACGGCAGCCUCACUUAGUUGCAGUCAGAGGAGGACUGUUAUCUUCUUCCUGUUUCAAGGGAUGCCCUCUUUACCUUCUGUGACCUCUCCCUUAGUCUUCCAAUCAGAACCAGUGGGGAAGUUGCGGUGUCCAGUCUUUCCUCGUUUAAUAUUCUGUUAUCUUUGUGCCUCUGGGCUCAGCUGGGAGCUGCAGGAGGAGGAGGAAAUGGAUGAUGCGUGUCAGGAUUCUUUGGAUGAAAAGUAUUUGGCUCUUUCCAGUCACCAUGACUUGUCUGACUCCUGCCACCCUCCCGACAGUCCCACCAUCCCAUCUGAUGAGCAUGAAAUCUGCUCUCGUCUGGAUGGAGCCCAAAGUCAUGAAGACGAGGAGUAUGUGGAAGAGAGAGAACCACUGUCCAAAAUGAACGACCAGGGGAGGGUAAAGGACAGGGAGUUUGAUUUUCUAAUUCGAGUUCAGGCACGAGAGCUGACCCAGUUAUGCCUAAAGACACGGGAAGGAAGAGAGCUAUCGGUCCUCCUUAAUCAGAACCUCAAGGAGCUACUGGGCCGCAGUGACCUUAACAACCUCCGGGGGCAGGCCUUCCAAGAGCAAUUGGCUGAGGGAUGCAGGCUGUCCCAGGCCCUUGGCAGCAAGCUCGGCCCAGUUCCACCAGAGCAUGCCAUCUGGGACCCAUCAGAUCAGGGCCACUUUGCCUGAUCCAUCAGAAU